rnacentral:rRNA from 1 species
GACGAACGCUGGCGGCGUGCUUAACACAUGCAAGUCGAACGGAAAGGCCCUGCUUUUGUGGGGUGCUCGAGUGGCGAACGGGUGAGUAACACGUGAGUAACCUGCCCUUGACUUUGGGAUAACUUCAGGAAACUGGGGCUAAUACCGGAUAGGAGCUCCUGCUGCAUGGUGGGGGUUGGAAAGUUUCGGCGGUUGGGGAUGGACUCGCGGCUUAUCAGCUUGUUGGUGGGGUAGUGGCUUACCAAGGCUUUGACGGGUAGCCGGCCUGAGAGGGUGACCGGCCACAUUGGGACUGAGAUACGGCCCAGACUCCUACGGGAGGCAGCAGUGGGGAAUAUUGCACAAUGGGCGGAAGCCUGAUGCAGCAACGCCGCGUGCGGGAUGACGGCCUUCGGGUUGUAAACCGCUUUCGCCUGUGACGAAGCGUGAGUGACGGUAAUGGGUAAAGAAGCACCGGCUAACUACGUGCCAGCAGCCGCGGUGAUACGUAGGGUGCGAGCGUUGUCCGGAUUUAUUGGGCGUAAAGGGCUCGUAGGUGGUUGAUCGCGUCGGAAGUGUAAUCUUGGGGCUUAACCCUGAGCGUGCUUUCGAUACGGGUUGACUUGAGGAAGGUAGGGGAGAAUGGAAUUCCUGGUAGAGCGGUGGAAUGCGCAGAUAUCAGGAGGAACACCAGUGGCGAAGGCGGUUCUCUGGGCCUUUCCUGACGCUGAGGAGCGAAAGCGUGGGGAGCGAACAGGCUUAGAUACCCUGGUAGUCCACGCUGUAAACGGUGGGUACUAGGUGUGGGGUCCAUUCCACGGGUUCCGUGCCGUAGCUAACGCUUUAAGUACCCCGCCUGGGGAGUACGGCCGCAAGGCUAAAACUCAAAGGAAUUGACGGGGCCCCGCACAAGCGGCGGAGCAUGCGGAUUAAUUCGAUGCAACGCGUAGAACCUUACCUGGGUUUGACAUGGAUCGGGAGCGCUCAGAGAUGGGUGUGCCUCUUUUGGGGUCGGUUCACAGGUGGUGCAUGGCUGUCGUCAGCUCGUGUCGUGAGAUGUUGGGUUAAGUCCCGCAACGAGCGCAACCCUUGUUCACUGUUGCCAGCACGUUAUGGUGGGGACUCAGUGGAGACCGCCGGGGUCAACUCGGAGGAAGGUGGGGAUGACGUCAAGUCAUCAUGCCCCUUAUGUCCAGGGCUUCACGCAUGCUACAAUGGCUGGUACAGAGAGUGGCGAGCCUGUGAGGGUGAGCGAAUCUCGGAAAGCCGGUCUCAGUUCGGAUUGGGGUCUGCAACUCGACCUCAUGAAGUCGGAGUCGCUAGUAAUCGCAGAUCAGCAACGCUGCGGUGAAUACGUUCCCGGGGCU